GCCUCACUGGCUCAGUCAGUGGAGUGUGUGACUCUCAAUCUCAAGGUCAUGAGUUCAAGCCCCAUAUUGGGCA
rnacentral:tRNA from 1 species